CAUUUUGGGAAGAAAUAAAUGUUGUUUACACUUUGUUUAUUAAUAAAUUUCUGCCAAUGAUUGCAAAUUUACUGUAGUAAAUUAUAUUAUUGAAGGGAUUAUGUUGCUGUAUUUUUUUUGUUCAAAAAGAGUUUGUAACUUUGAUGUAAGCUCGUCCUGGGUCAUGUCAAAAUUAGGCAUAUGUCAACCCUCUUAGCACCUCUUUAGCUUUAUGCGACUCUAAGGGUGUUCUUCUUUUUCACUCUUAGAUUUACAAUAGAGUUUGUUAGCUGCACAUGAUAAAAGUUAUCAUCACAAUUGUUACAUCCUGAUGCGUAAUAAUCUUUUUUCUUUUUUCAAUGGGAUAGGUGCCUGUGUAGAAGUACCUUAUUGGAAUCAAGUCUUCAGGGACCCCAGAUGGGCACUGAUGGUGGAUAUCGGAAGGGAUAUUUUAUGUAUGCAAAUGCCCAACUUGUUUUAAUCAGCUGGUUUCUACCUACCCUGGAUCAUUGAUGCUAGUUUUAAUCCUGUGCCAGAUCAUACUUCAAGAGAAAGAAUCAUAAGAUCGAGACGGGGUUGUACAGAAGCCUUUAGUGGUGUCCAUUGUGAACAAUUAAGUUCGAAGCACCCAAGCUUGUGAAACUGU